rnacentral:rRNA from 1 species
UACGAAGGGGACUAGCGUUGUUCGGAAUCACUGGGCGUAAAGCGCACGUAGGCGGCUUCGUAAGUCAGGGGUGAAAUCCCGGGGCUCGACCUCGGAACUGCCUUUGAUACUGCGGGUCUUGAGUCCGAUAGAGGUGGGUGGAAUUCCUAGUGUAGAGGUGAAAUUCGUAGAUAUUAGGAAGAACACCGGUGGCGAAGGCGGCCCACUGGAUCGGUACUGACGCUGAGGUGCGAAAGCGUGGGGAGCAAACAGG